rnacentral:rRNA from 1 species
UACGUAGGGGGCAAGCGUUGUCCGGAAUUAUUGGGCGUAAAGGGUGCGUAGGCGGCCUUUCAAGUUGGAUGUGAAAUCUCCGUGCUUAACAUGGAAAUUGCAUUCAAAACUGGAGGGCUUGAGUGUGGAAGAGGUAAGUGGAAUUCCCAGUGUAGCGGUGAAAUGCGUAGAUAUUGGGAGGAACACCAGUGGCGAAGGCGACUUACUGGGCCACAACUGACGCUGAUGCACGAAAGCGUGGGGAGCAAACAGGAUUAGAUACCCUGGUAGUCCACGCUGUAAACGAUGGAUACUAGGUGUAGGGGGUAACACCCCCCCUGUGCCGCAGCAAACGCAUUAAGUAUCCCGCCUGGGGAGUACGGUCGCAAGAUUGAA